AAAGCUAAAGUUAGGCUAUAAACGAACUACACCACGGUUGCAUGACUUCACGUCGCCACCACUAAGCUAAAGGCGGACUAGUGUUCAGCGUGAUGAUGUUUGGUAGUGUCAUUUAGCUACUUGUUAGCAACCGCAUUUUUAAAGACACAUAAAAGCUUCAAAUUUCAGUAGUGGGAUAUCUUCUGCCGUAUUUUACAUCGUAAAAUAAAACGUUAAAAUCUCUUCAGCUUGUGUUAACC